rnacentral:telomerase_RNA from 1 species
CACUACGUCACCAACGCCAGGUCUUGUGUAGUCCUAGCGUCUCUAACCCUAAGUGGUUACGCGGUCUCAUUGCACUCGUGUUGCUGUUACUCUUGCCCAGCCUUCAGCAGCACAGGGAUCGUUCGAAACAAAUAAAAAAAGGCUGGGUUUGUGACAUUUAGUGUGUGCAUAAUAUGUAAGGAUUGUCAUCACAAAAAUGCAACCUAGUGGCGGUCACAAGCCAGUGGCAAUCAUGCGUGGUUGUUUUGCGUGAUGCGAACCAUGGACAUGCGUUAUACAGUUAUUUUCCUGUCGCGUGUGAUCUGUGGGGAAAAUGGCGAUUCUUGUUUUAGCGCACAUGUUGAUUAAAAUUGUCUGGGCAGGUCACCGUGUCUCUUGGCAAGUUGUUUUAAAGCUGCUUAAUUUAUGCCAAACGGAACUAGCUGUUUCAGACUACACUU